rnacentral:rRNA from 1 species
CAAUCGAAGGUCUUUGGACGCAAGUUGCGCCCGAUGCCAUUAGGUUGAGGGCACGUCUGCCUGGGCGUCACAUAUCGAAGCCUCCUGCCAAUUUCCCUUUGAUUAUUGUGCAGGGUGGAUGUUGGCCUCCCGUGAGCUCUUUCGUCUCAUGGUUGGUUGAAAAUUGAGACCUUGGUAGGGUGUGCCAUGAUAGAUGGUGGUUGUGUGAUCCACGAGACCAAUCAUGUGCUGCUCUAUUAAAUAUGGCCUCUUUUACCCAUAUGCGUUUCUAAACGCUCGUGAUGAGACCUCAGGUCAGGCGGGGCUACCCGCUGAAUUUAAGCAUAUCAAUAAGCGGAGGAAAAGAAACUAACAAGGAUUCCCUUAGUAACGGCGAGCGAACCGGGAUAAGCCCACCAUGAGAAUCGGUCGCCCUCGGCGUUCGAAUUGUAGUUGAAAAAAACCGUCAAAAUAACG